GAGUUUGAUCCUGGCUCAGAUUGAACGCUGGCGGCAUGCCUUACACAUGCAAGUCGAACGGCAGCAUGAUCUAGCUUGCUAGAUUGAUGGCGAGUGGCGAACGGGUGAGUAAUACAUCGGAACGUGCCCUGUAGUGGGGGAUAACUAGUCGAAAGAUUAGCUAAUACCGCAUACGACCUGAGGGUGAAAGUGGGGGACCGCAAGGCCUCAUGCUAUAGGAGCGGCCGAUGUCUGAUUAGCUAGUUGGUGGGGUAAAGGCCCACCAAGGCGACGAUCAGUAGCUGGUCUGAGAGGACGAUCAGCCACACUGGGACUGAGACACGGCCCAGACUCCUACGGGAGGCAGCAGUGGGGAAUUUGGACAAUGGGCGAAAGCCUGAUCCAGCAAUGCCGCGUGUGUGAAGAAGGCCUCGGUGUAAG
rnacentral:rRNA from 1 species